CACGUAGGGCGCAAGCGUUGUCCGGAAUUAUUGGGCGUAAAGAGCUCGUAGGCGGUCUGUUGCGUCCGCUGUGAAAACUCGGGGCUUAACCCCGAGCCUGCAGUGGAUACGGGCAGACUAGAGGUAGGUAGGGGAGAAUGGAAUUCCCGGUGUAGCGGUGAAAUGCGCAGAUAUCGGGAGGAACACCGGUGGCGAAGGCGGUUCUCUGGGCCUUACCUGACGCUGAGGAGCGGAAGCGUGGGGAGCGAACAGG
rnacentral:rRNA from 1 species